GAGGAGGAGGAGAGGCCGGGCCGAUGGAGGGGUGAGACAGGGAGGAGGAGAGAGACGGAGAGGGAACAGAGAGGAACUCCAGCUGGCCAAUGGAGAGGCUGCGAUGCUGCCGGCCGCUGGGAGGACGCGACGAUGUGAACAAGCCACGCCCCUCAGGCUGAGGUCUUCAGAGGGUGAAAAGAUGAGGAGAAGAAGAAGAAGAGAUUCUUCUGGAAAACAUCCAAACAGCUUUGUUUGAUCUGAGCAGACGGAGGGAGGAAGGUGGAGGAAGAGGAGUGUGAAGCUGCACAGGAACCCUGACGGAGUUUGGAAGUGCUCGUCAAUCACACAGAGGUAUGAACCAAUCAGAGAGGGGGGAGGCUGAUUGAGGGAGAGGCCAACCAGAGUGUUUCCAUGGUGACUGGGUGUCUGCGAUGCCACUCAGGGGCCAGAGGUCGCUCACUCGCCGGUCCAUCUGCCACGCUGCGUCUGGAGGGAGCCAAUCAAGAGAGAGAGAGAGAUGCCAAGAAAAGAGGAACCAAUCAGAGGAGGGGAUGGAGACAGGA